GGAUUUUCCUUUGUCAUGUGGUUGAGAUUAUGUAAGGGACACAGAGGAAACAGACAUACCCUACCGUCCACGAGCCCAUAGCCUCAUCAGGAAGGCCCCCCCAGCCAUGAAGCUUCUUCAGCGUGAGGAGCACAGCCUCACUGCCACCAGCCUUCCCCACCUUCCUCCGAGAGGGAUUCAAGGAAAAGCCACCUCUGGCCUCCACCAUCACCUGCUGGCCCUGAGACCUUCAAGGAAAAGCCCUCCUCCUUGUCCACCAGGGCUCACCUGGGCAGCCUGUUCUCCCCACGGCCCUGCCUUACAGACCACCCUGAGUGCCCAGGGAACAAAGCUCUUGGCUAGGAGCUGGGGAGAACGGAAGCCCAGUGUUCUUGGAUGCAGCUAUCUGGAGUGUAGUCUCUGCCUUGCUGAGCUGGGAUGA
rnacentral:lncRNA from 13 species